UACGUAGGGAGCUAGCGUUGUCCGGAUUUAUUGGGCGUAAAGAGCGUGUAGGCGGCCAGGUAGGUCUGGUGUGAAAACUCGAGGCUUAACCUCGAGAUGUCAUCGGAAACCAUUUGGCUAGAGUCCGGAAGAGGAGAGUGGAAUUCCUGGUGUAGCGGUGAAAUGCGCAGAUAUCAGGAAGAACACCAAUGGCGAAAGCAGCUCUCUGGGACGGUACUGACGCUGAGACGCGAAAGCGUGGGGAGCGAACAGG
rnacentral:rRNA from 1 species